UUGCGACAUGCGCCGGGUAACAGCAAGGUCGGCGUAAUGCUGGCAGCGUCAUUCGGACGUGGGAUCCUUGCUCCGGGGGUCGCACACAGG
rnacentral:ncRNA from 1 species